GUUGGGGGAAAUAGUGGUUAGUCGGAUUGGGAAAAAAGACAUCAUACCUUGAGGUAAAAUUAGGUUUGCUUCCUUUUACUCCCAAAAUCUUUUUACCGUGGGUAAAAAGAAUCAUCAUGGGGGUAUAAAAGGAACCAAAUUUAAAUUUACCUCAAGGGAUUUUGAUGUCUUUUUCCCCAAGAGGACUGAUCACUAUUUUCCCCAAG
rfam:Medicago truncatula strain A17 chromosome 6, whole genome shotgun sequence.